rnacentral:rRNA from 1 species
AUUGAACGCUGGCGGCAGGCCUAACACAUGCAAGUCGAACGAGUGGCGGACGGGUGAGUAAUGUCUGGGAAACUGCCCGAUGGAGGGGGAUAACUACUGGAAACGGUAGCUAAUACCGCAUACCAUCGGAUGUGCCCAGAUGGGAUUAGCUAGUAGGUGGGGUAACGGCUCACCUAGGCGACGAUCCCUAGCUGGUCUGAGAGGAUGACCAGCCACAAUGGAACUGAGACAAGGUCCAGACUCCUAAGGGAGGCAGGAGUUGGGAAUAUUGAGCAAUGGGCGCAAGCCCGAUGGAGGCAGGGCGCGGGUAAGAAGAAGGGCUUCGGGGUUGAAAGGAAUUUUAGGGAGGAGGCGUUACGCGCAGAAGAAGCACCGGCUAACUCCGUGCCAGCAGCCGCGGUAAUAC